UUGAUCACUAUUUUGGCAUAU
ensembl:piRNA 21ur-12893 ncRNA